UACGGGGGGGGCAAGCGUUGUUCGGAAUUACUGGGCGUAAAGGGCUCGUAGGCGGCCAACUAAGUCAGACGUGAAAUCCCUCGGCUUAACCGGGGAACUGCGUCUGAUACUGGAUGGCUUGAGAUUGGGAGAGGGAUGCGGAAUUCCAGGUGUAGCGGUGAAAUGCGUAGAUAUCUGGAGGAACACCGGUGGCGAAGGCGACAGCCUGGACCAACACUGACGCUGAGGAGCGAAAGCCAGGGGAGCAAACGGG
rnacentral:rRNA from 1 species